AGUGAACGCUGGCGGUAGGCCUAACACAUGCAAGUCGAACGGCAGCACAGUAAGAGCUUGCUCUUACGGGUGGCGAGUGGCGGACGGGUGAGGAAUACAUCGGAAUCUACUUUUUCGUGGGGGAUAACGUAGGGAAACUUACGCUAAUACCGCAUACGACCUACGGGUGAAAGCAGGGGAUCUUCGGACCUUGCGCGAUUGAAUGAGCCGAUGUCGGAUUAGCUAGUUGGCGGGGUAAAGGCCCACCAAGGCGACGAUCCGUAGCUGGUCUGAGAGGAUGAUCAGCCACACUGGAACUGAGACACGGUCCAGACUCCUACGGGAGGCAGCAGUGGGGAAUAUUGGACAAUGGGCGCAAGCCUGAUCCAGCCAUACCGCGUGGGUGAAGAAGGCCUUCGGUUUGUAAAGCCCUUUUGUUGGGAAAGAAAAGCAGCAGGUUAAUACCCCGCUGUUCUGACGGUACCCAAAGAAUAAGCACCGGCUAACUUCGUG
rnacentral:rRNA from 1 species